rnacentral:rRNA from 1 species
GACGAAGGGGGCUAGCGUUGUUCGGAAUUACUGGGCGUAAAGGGCUCGUAGGCGGCCAACUAAGUCGGACGUGAAAUCCCUCGGCUUAACCGGGGAACUGCGUCCGAUACUGGAUGGCUUGAGAUUGGGAGAGGGAUGCGGAAUUCCAGGUGUAGCGGUGAAAUGCGUAGAUAUCUGGAGGAACACCGGUGGCGAAGGCGGCAUCCUGGACCAAUAUUGACGCUGAGGAGCGAAAGCCAGGGGAGCAAACGGG